rnacentral:rRNA from 1 species
UACGUAGGAGGCAAGCGUUGUCCGGAAUUACUGGGCGUAAAGCGCGUGUAGGUGGUGGGACAAGUCUGCUGUGAAAGCGCCUGGCUUAACCGGGCGAGGUCGGCGGAAACUGUUCGACUCGAGGACGGUAGAGGAGAGUGGAAUUCCUGGUGUAGCGGUGAAAUGCGCAGAUAUCAGGAAGAACACCUAUGGCGAAGGCAGCUCUCUGGGACGGUACUGACGGCUGAGACGCGAAAGCGUGGGGAGCGAACAGG